rnacentral:lncRNA from 1 species
GGGAGGGAGCAGAGCGCGGGGCAGGCUGCCGCCGCGCGUGCGCCCCGGGGCGGCGGGCCGGGGGCUUGUGUCUGCACCGGGGGAGGCGUCGCGCAGGCUCCGUCCUAGCCGGGCUAGGUUCCUCCGCCCCGCUCGCUGCAAACUUCUCGUGUCCGGGACGGGGCAGCCCAGCACCCCGGCUGCCCGUGCGGGCAUGCACCGCGUGGGGCGCCGUCCUCCGGGGGCCCCAGGGGUUACGCUCACCUUGACCUUCCCUGGCCGCAGGCCUCCAGGGGUCCCAUUUCCAGGCCACACGUAGCUCCCCUUUCCCGGCUUAGACUGGGCACCCACAACCGGUAGAUGCUCGUGAGAUCUUGGCCCAUACGUACAACAUGAAGCAAAAGACGUGUUUUACAGCCACUGCGUAAAGUUUUGAUGGGGGGGGAGUUUUGGAUCUGCACAGACUUUGGAAGAAUACUCCGUGGUGAUGGUGCUAAAACUUUCAUUGACAACACACCUGUCUUUGUAACAUCAUGUCUGUUCCACAAAAACGUAUCAUCUCCUGGAAGCACGCUCCAGAAAGUGAUCCCUGGUGGAAUGGCUGGAGUUUUCUGCAAUGUCAGAGUGAUCCAGGAAAGCUGGCAGACCCCAGCCCACUGUUGAGUUUGAGACACUCUAAGAACAGUAACAUUUUCAAAAGCACCGUGGCAAGAAAAAAGAAAGGUUGAACAUGAUGACAAGAAUGUCC